UGGGGAAUAUUGGACAAUGGGCGAAAGCCUGAUCCAGCCAUGCCGCGUGUGUGAAGAAGGUCUUCGGAUUGUAAAGCACUUUAAGUUGGGAGGAAGGGCAGUAAGCGAAUACCUUGCUGUUUUGACGUUACCGACAGAAUAAGCACCGGCUAACUCUGUGCCAGCAGCCGCGGUAAUACAGAGGGUGCAAGCGUUAAUCGGAAUUACUGGGCGUAAAGCGCGCGUAGGUGGUUCGUUAAGUUGAAUGUGAAAGCCCCGGGCUCAACCUGGGAACUGCAUCCAAAACUGGCGAGCUAGAGUAGGGCAGAGGGUGGUGGAGUUUCCUGUGUAGCGGUGAAGUGCGUAGAUAUAGGAAGGAACACCAGUGGCGAAGGCGACCACCUGGGCUCAUACUGACACUGAAGUGCGAAAGCGUGGGGAGCAAACAGG
rnacentral:rRNA from 1 species